rnacentral:rRNA from 1 species
GGACCAGACUCCUACGGGAGGCAGCAGUGAGGAAUAUUGGUCAAUGGGCGCGAGCCUGAACCAGCCAAGUCGCGUGAGGGAAGACGGUCCUAUGGAUUGUAAACCUCUUUUGUCGGGGAGCAAAAGACGCCACGCGUGGCGUUCCGAGAGUACCCGGAGAAAAAGCAUCGGCUAACUCCGUGCCAGCAGCCGCGGUAAUACGGAGGAUGCGAGCGUUAUCCGGAUUUAUUGGGUUUAAAGGGUGCGUAGGCGGGACGCCAAGUCCGCGGUAAAAAUGCGGUGCUCAACGCCGUCGAGCCGUUGAAACUGGCGUUCUUGAGUGGGCGAGAAGUAUGCGGAAUGCGUGGUGUAGCGGUGAAAUGCAUAGAUAUCACGCAGAACUCCGAUUGCGAAGGCAGCAUACCGGCGCCCUACUGACGCUGAGGCACGAAAGCAUGGGUAUCGAACAGGAUUAGAUACCCGUGUAA